rnacentral:rRNA from 1 species
UACGAAGGGGGCUAGCGUUGUUCGGAAUCACUGGGCGUAAAGCGCACGUAGGCGGAUCUUUAAGUCAGGGGUGAAAUCCCGAGGCUCAACCUCGGAACUGCCUUUGAUACUGGGGAUCUCGAGUCCGGGAGAGGUGAGUGGAACUGCGAGUGUAGAGGUGAAAUUCGUAGAUAUUCGCAAGAACACCAGUGGCGAAGGCGGCUCACCUGGCCCCGAUACUGACGCUGAGGCACGAAAGCGUGG